ACGUAGGGUGCGAGCGUUAAUCGGAAUUACUGGGCGUAAAGCGUGCGCAGGCGGUUCGUUGUGUCGGUGGUGAAAGCCCCGGGCUUAACCUGGGAAUGGCCGUCGAAACUGGCGAACUGGAGUGUGGCAGAGGGGGGUGGAAUUCCGCGUGUAGCAGUGAAAUGCGUAGAGAUGCGGAGGAACACCGAUGGCGAAGGCAAUCCCCUGGGCCUGCACUGACGCUCAUGCACGAAAGCGUGGGGAGCAAGCAGGA
rnacentral:rRNA from 1 species